rfam:Erwinia iniecta strain B120 contig000026, whole genome shotgun sequence.
GCUGCCGCAAAAUCGGUAGCCGGGAUUUGCAGCCCGUGUAACUCAAUGGCGACACAACACGCGCCAUGCGUGUUUUUU